UACGUAGGCAGCAAGCGUUGUUCGGAGUUACUGGGCGUAAAGGGUGUGUAGGCGGUUCUUUUAAGUUGGUGUGAAAUCUCCCGGCUCAAACUGGGAGGGUGCGCCGAAUACUGAGGGACUAGAGUACGGGAGAGGAAAGUGGGAAUUCCUGGUGUAGCGGUGAAAUGACGUAGAGAUCCGGAGGAACACCAGCGGCGAAGGCGGCAUCCUGGACUGGUCCUGACACUCAGGAGCGAAAGCGUGGGGAGCGAGUCCGG
rnacentral:rRNA from 1 species